UAAACAAUAGCUGUCACGUGCUAUAACAUUGCUAAACCACGUGGCUGGUCUUUCACUGCACUUCCAUAGCUAGGGAGAAGAAGAAAUUGUUCUUAUAGCUAUUAGUCUCGCGAGCAGACGUGGGCUAGCUAUAUAGAGAGAAGAAGAAAUUAUGCUGUCAAUUUUGAAGCUCUGAGCAAGUGGUCAAACUAUUUGUCUGUAUUGGUGGAGGCUGAAGACAUGAGUCCAUGGACAGGGACUACUGAGGAACCUUCAUCAAGAACAUUAACAAGAGAUACUACACAUAGGAACAGAGCCGACCGACGUGGAGACGGUUACUAUCGCUACUGAAGAGGUGGUACCCAGUUCACAGUUUGAGAUAGAGAUAAGUCAGAGUGAUGAUGGGGAGAGUGUGGAGCAGCUACAGGCCAGUGACUUGGGCCCUAACUUUGGCCUGUGCAUGAUACCCAGGAGGUCCACACGCUAACUAGCGAUGAUGGUUUGCCCUCUGACAUGACCUCUGAGGAUGGCUCCACCCUCAAUGCUAAUAGGCCACGCCCUCAUCCAGAUGCAGCAAGGUGGACAGACCACCUCAUCACUAGGAGCACCUCAUCUGGUUCAGAGUCUGGCCAAAAUGGUGAGUAAUGGAGGCCAAAUUUAUCAGUGUGACGAUACAUUUUUUGGGGCAAAUCCAAAAGUUAUAGGCUUCGAUAAGUUAUCCAAGUGCUUGUACUUACUAAUUACAUGUAGAACCAUGAGUAUUAUUGCUAAUGUUUGAUAUAAAAUAAUUAUAAAAUAAGGUUUCUUGGAAGUGGUGUUGAAAAAUAGUCAGUUUUUACUAUGUUGUUGUGUGUGUUGAGGUCCUCUGUAUGUGAUGAUCCCACCAUCCAGUAGUGCUGAGAUACUGCAUGCAAUGGGUCGACCUAUAGCACCCAAGAUGAGAGGGAUAUCAACUAUGGAUUAUCACACGGCCGACCCCAUCGUUCAAAUGCAGUUGUGAGUACACAGUUCAUGUGAUUGCCUACCUCUGCAUAACAUGUAUGACAGUAUGUUAGGAAAAGCAUCAUUCUUGCUACAUACACAGGGUUCUGCCUACAGUGGUCGUUUAGGUAAGCUGCGACCACCACUAGGUAUUUUCCGACCACCACUUAGCCUUUCCGACCACUGCUUUACAUUCUACAAGUACUGGCUAGUCCAGUUUAGCUGCUAGUCUUCGCUUACCAGUUUUACUGUCUUGAUGUGCCUUAUAUAGAGCUAACUAUUAAUUGAACUCUACUGCAUGACCAGAACAAUUAAUUGAAGCUGCAGCAUGGCUUUGUUGAGUUCGAGGAGUACUGCAGCUAGCUAGCUAGCUAUACUCUGCUUUAAAACAGGGAGUUGGACCACCUGCUAAGGAAAAGACAAGCUAGAGAGUGAGCAACUGGGUGCAGUUAACACUUCCAAGUACUGAUUAUGACCCGGCCUGUGAUGAAGAAAUCUUAGUAUAGCACCAUACUGUACUGAUGCAAGUACAACAAUGUACAUAUAUAAUUAUGUCAGCUACAGUACCCAUCAAUAAAAAGUUCCCGUUCCGUUUGCGUAAAACGCACAAUUCCGGUUUAAACGCAUAAAAAAAAACCGCAUAGUUGAACACAUUGUAUUAUGCAAAACGCUACCGUUUUCACGCAUGUGCAGAAAAAUUGCUGAGUAAGCAGAUUCGUUAACUUGUGAUCGUGCGUACAGUGUAGCAGUAGCUAGCUAGCUAGCUUGUGUACUACAGUAUAGCUGAUUGUCUAGCGCUUUAAUCCUCUUAGUUAGCUUAUAGGUGCUAUUUUGCAACAGUGGACCGUUUCCCCAGUUGUUCUCGGUCUCGCAUCAGCCCCAAGACUAAGUUGCCCUCCAUGCAAGUUAUUUGUGACUUGGAAUGACCGUUUUUGAAGACCAUCGUCUCUUCUCCAGUAUGUCUGACUGCAUACUUUAUAAUAACUAGCUAGCUAGCUCAUUGUACUACAAAUCAUACAGUAUCAUUGUCAGGGUUCUAUCUAGA